UUUCUCUCUCUCACACACAAUAAGUAAAGAAACUUAGGGAAAUAAAAGAAAUGACAGAUUCCUUAGCAAUUCUAAUAACCAUGAGUUUCUACUUUGCAUAUUUUAGAGAAAAUUUAUGCUUAAUCCUGUAAGUAUCGAGAAAUUGAUCCUGUCUGGGUAAUUGUAUCGUAUACUCACCACAGUAGAAACCAUAGGAUUUUUUCAGGUAUCCGGUCAACUAGUGUUAGUCUCUCCUGAAAACAGUGCGUUGAUCUUGAUUUGGUACAAGUGUGCUGGUGGAAUUCAUGUGUUCCAUAAUAAUGGAAGGGAACAAGUUCACGUGCAGGUGUCUUGAGAGAAUGCAUUGUAUAUUAAACACAUUUCCGUGUGUUUCCUCAGGUUCCUGGUAAGAAAACAGGGUGAACUGAAAAUGGUUCACAUACCCUUGCUAGUAAGCAGGUAAGUGUCAAAGUGAAUCCGACUACAAUGAAGACCAUGUGACCUUGAGUAGGUAAGCGAGGGUGAUAACCCUAACAUUGGUGUUAAUGUGGCUUAUUUUUUUUAUUUUUGUCGGUAUCAGGUUAGUAUCUUUGCUAGUAUGCGGGUAUGAGAUGGUGUGAUAUUAACUGAUUAAAGACCUUUGUUUUAAAGAUUUUAUUUUUAAAUAAUUUCUGCACCCUCCAUGGGGCUCCAACUCACAACUGUAAGAUCCAGAGUCACAUGCUCCACUGACUGAGUCAGGCAGGUACCCCUAAAGACAUUUCUAUAUUCAGGUAUCUACAUAAUUUAUCACUUCAAGUCUCUUCAGUUUACUUUCUUUAUGGAAUGUAUUCAGUUAAGAGUUUACUGUGUCCCUUAUAAUGCUGGUAGCAAUACGAUUUUUUUGUGUUCUUGUUUGGAAAUAAGAUCACUUAACAUAGCAGUUACAAAUUUGCAGAUAUCCUGGAAGUUUCUCAUAUUGUCCUUCGCUACUUUAUUGACUAUGGAAUUAGUAUAAGUAAUUUGAAGAGACGAAGGUGUGUCUUCCUAGAGAUUGACCUUGGAGUUCUGCAAGGAUCCAUGGGUCCUGAAAUGAUACAGUGACCAAGGGAAUGUGCAGGUGUAGUGGUAGAAUGAGACGCACCCAAAAUAUUUUUUGCAACGUUUUUCUUUUUUCAGACUCGUAUCAUUGAAGCACACUGAGCCUAUUGAUGAUAGCUAACAUAAGACAUUGCUAAUGUCACAGUAGAGAUGAUGUAGGCCUUAGCCACAGCACCGACCAUCUGAUCUUCAGACUGCUAGGUGCUCCGUAGAAGUUGUGUUACCUGACAAUGGUCUUGACCUUGGAGUCCUACAGCUAUUCGAGCAGAGGUUUCCUGUCAAGAGAUUAUGAUGAAACUCGCACUAGUGAUUCUCUGGGGACAUUUCUGUUCCCCAGACAAGUGGUGAUGUUCACCUUCGCCAUUUCAAACCAUCUGAUCUUCUCCUAUCUGGAUGAAUGUUAUCGAUGGACUAAACUUGCUUAGCACAUGUGUUUUGGUUUUUUUUUUAAU